UUUCUGUAGGUGAACCUGCGGAGGGAUCAUUACCGAGUUUACAACUCCCAAACCCAAUGUGAACGUUACCAAACUGUUGCCUCGGCGGGAUCUCUGCCCCGGGUGCGUCGCAGCCCCGCACCAAGGCGCCCGCCGGAGGACCAACCAAAACUCUUAUUGUAUACCCCCUCGCGGGUUUUUUUAUAAUGUGAGCCUUCUCGGCGCCUCUCGUCGGCGUUUCGAAAAUGAAUCAAAACUUUCAACAACGGAUCUCUUGGUUCUGGCAUCGAUGAAGAACGCAGCGAAAUGCGAUAAGUAAUGUGAAUUGCAGAAUUCAGUGAAUCAUCGAAUCUUUGAACGCACAUUGCGCCCGCCAGUAUUCUGGCGGGCAUGCCUGUCCGAGCGUCAUUUCAACCCUCGAACCCCUCCGGGGGGUCGGCGUUGGGGAUCGGCCCUGCCUUGGCGGUGGCCGUCUCCGAAAUACAGUGGCGGUCUCGCCGCAGCCUCUCCUGCGCAGUAGUUUGCACACUCGCAUACGGGAGCGCGGCGCGUCCACAGCCGUUAAAACACCCAACUUCGUGAAAUGUUGACCUCGGAUCCAGGUAGGGAAAACCCGGUCCUCCUG
rnacentral:rRNA from 1 species